rnacentral:rRNA from 1 species
GAUGAACGCUGGCGGCGUGCUUAACACAUGCAAGUCGAACGAUGAAGCCCAGCUUGCUGGGUGGGUUCGUGGCGAACGGGUGAGUAACACGUGAGUAACCUGCCCUUAACUCUUGGAUAAGCCUGGGAAACUGGGUCUAAUACCGGAUAGGAGCGUCCACCGCAUGGUGGGUGUUGGAAAGAUUUAUCGGUUUUGGAUGGACUCGCGGCCUAUCAGCUUGUUGGUGAGGUAAUGGCUCACCAAGGCGACGACGGGUAGCCGGCCUGAGAGGGUGACCGGCCACACUGGGACUGAGACACGGCCCAGACUCCUACGGGAGGCAGCAGUGGGGAAUAUUGCACAAUGGGCGCAAGCCUGAUGCAGCGACGCCGCGUGCGGGAUGACGGCCUUCGGGUUGUAAACCUCUUUCAGUAGGGAAGAAGCGAAAGUGACGGUACCUGCAGAAGAAGCACCGGCUAACUACGUG